UUCAACAGGGGUGAAAUCUGUAUACACCAUGAAUUUUUUGAUUAAAGUACCUUUUAGGUGGUCAAAUGACUAGGAUUAGAUACCCUAUUAGUCCACUCUUAAUUAACCUGGGUAGUAGUAUCGAAACCUAAAGAAUUUGGCGGUUUCUAAACCUACUAGAGGAACCUGCCCCAUAAACGACAAUCCACGAAAAAAUUCACCCGGGCUAGUUAUGCAGCUUAUAUACCGUCGUUCAGAGGACUAAAUAAAUAGAUCCUCUUAAAAGCUUAGGCUAAUAAAUCAGAUCAAGGUGUAGCUUAUGCCCGGGAGAGGGUGGGUUACAAUGAAAAUUCAUACGGAAUUUCUAUUUUGUGAUAGAAAAGAAGGUGGAUUUAGAAGUAAGACUUAAUAUACUGAAAAAGGCUCUCAGAAAUGUACAC
rnacentral:rRNA from 1 species